rnacentral:sRNA from 1 species
AUAUCUCUCCGUACGGGAAGGAUGAGAAGCUUCGACUAAGGUUCGAUUCGAGCGCAGCGAGAAAGCGUUGCCGCAGGCAACGACCCGAAG